rnacentral:rRNA from 1 species
UUGCCAGCCCGCUCAGAAACUUAAAGGAAUUGACGGGGCCCGCACAAGCGGUGGAGCAUGUGGUUAAUUCGAUGAUACGCGAGGAACCUUACCUGGGCUCAAAUGUAUGUUGACGUAUUCUGAAAGGGAUACUUCUUCGGACAAUAUACAAGGUGCUGCAUGGUUGUCGUCAGCUCGUGCCGUGAGGUGUCGGGUUAAGUCCCAUAACGAGCGCAACCCCUAUCAUUAGUUGCCAUCAGGUCAAGCUGGGGACUCUAAUGAAACUGCCUACGCAAGUAGUGAGGAAGGUGGGGAUGACGUCAAAUCAGCACGGCCCUUACGUCCAGGGCUACACACGUGCUACAAUGGCCGGUACAAAGGGCAGCUACCUGGUGACAGGAUGCUAAUCUCAAAAGCCGGUCUCAGUUCGGAUCGGAGUCUGCAACCCGACUCCGUGAAGCUGGAUUCGCUAGUAAUCGCGCAUCAGCCACGGCGCGGUGAAUACGUUCCCGGGCCUU